rnacentral:misc_RNA from 1 species
UAAAGUUUGCAAACGAUCACAAAAGUGGUUCUAAUAUCGAUGUCGUACUGACGCUGAGUUCAACAAGAAGGUUAGAAGAGC